AGAGUUUGAUCAUGGCUCAGGACGAACGCUGGCGGCGUGCUUAACACAUGCAAGUCGAGCGAAAAGAUUCCCUUCGGGGAUGAAUUUAGCGGCGGACGGGUGAGUAACACGUGGGCAACCUGCCUUAUAGAGGGGGAUAGCCUUCCGAAAGGAAGAUUAAUACCGCAUAACAUCAUUUUACCGCAUGGUAGUUUGAUCAAAGGAGCAAUCCGCUAUAAGAUGGGCCCGCGGCGCAUUAGCUAGUUGGUGAGGUAACGGCUCACCAAGGCGACGAUGCGUAGCCGACCUGAGAGGGUGAUCGGCCACAUUGGGACUGAGACACGGUCCAGACUCCUACGGGAGGCAGCAGUGGGGAAUAUUGCACAAUGGGCGAAAGCCUGAUGCAGCAACGCCGCGUGAGUGAUGAAGGCCUUCGGGUUGUAAAGCUCUGUCUUCUGGGACGAUAAUGACGGUACCAGAGGAGGAAGCCACGGCUAACUACGUGCCAGCAGCCGCGGUAAUACGUAGGUGGCAAGCGUUGUCCGGAUUUACUGGGCGUAAAGGAUGCGUAGGCGGAUGCUUAAGUCAGAUGUGAAAAUCCCGGGCUUAACUUGGGAACUGCAUUUGAAACUGGGUAUCUAGAGUGCGGGAGAGGAGAGUGGAAUUCCUAGUGUAGCGGUGAAAUGCGUAGAGAUUAGGAAGAACACCAGUGGCGAAGGCGACUCUCUGGACCGUAACUGACGCUGAGGCAUGAAAGCGUGGGGAGCAAACAGGAUUAGAUACCCUGGUAGUCCACGCCGUAAACUAUGAAUACUAGGUGUGGGAGUUGUCAUGACUUCCGUGCCGCAGUUAACACAAUAGUAUUCCGCCUGGGGAGUACGGUCGCAAGAUUAAAACUCAAAGGAAUUGACGG
rnacentral:rRNA from 1 species